GGAUUAGAUACCCGGGUAGUCCACGCCGUAAACGAUGGAUACUAGCUGUUUGGCAGCAAUGCUGAGUGGCUAAGCGAAAGUGAUAAGUAUCCCACCUGGGGAGUACGGGCGCAAGCCUGAAACUCAAAGGAAUUGACGGGGGCCCGCACAAGCGGUGGAGCAUGUGGUUUAAUUCGAUGAUACGCGAGGAACCUUACCAGGGCUUAAAUGUAGUGGGACAGGCUUGGAAACAGGCCCUUCUUCGGACUCAUUACAAGGUGCUGCAUGGUUGUCGUCAGCUCGUGCCGUGAGGUGUCAGGUUAAGUCCUAUAACGAGCGCAACCCCUGUCGUUAGUUGCCAGCGAGUCAUGUCGGGAACUCUAACGAGACUGCCGGUGCAAACCGUGAGGAAGGU
rnacentral:rRNA from 1 species